GAUGAACGCUGGCGGCGUGCCUAAUACAUGCAAGUCGAGCGAACGGACGAGAAGCUUGCUUCUCUGAUGUUAGCGGCGGACGGGUGAGUAACACGUGGAUAACCUACCUAUAAGACUGGGAUAACUUCGGGAAACCGGAGCUAAUACCGGAUAAUAUUUUGAACCGCAUGGUUCAAAAGUGAAAGACGGUCUUGCUGUCACUUAUAGAUGGAUCCGCGCUGCAUUAGCUAGUUGGUAAGGUAACGGCUUACCAAGGCAACGAUGCAUAGCCGACCUGAGAGGGUGAUCGGCCACACUGCAACUGAGACACGGUCCAGACUCCUACGGGAGGCAGCAGUAGGGAAUCUUACGCAAUGGGCGAAAGCCUGACGGAGCAACGCCGCGUGAGUGAUGAAGGUCUUCGGAUCGUAAAACUCUGUUAUUAGGGAAGAACAUAUGUGUAAGUAACUGUGCACAUCUUGACGGUACCUAAUCAGAAAGCCACGGCUAACUACGU
rnacentral:rRNA from 1 species